rnacentral:rRNA from 1 species
CAGCCGCCGCGGUAAUACGUAGGUCCCGAGCGUUGUCCGGAUUUAUUGGGCGUGAAGCGAGCGCAGGCGGUUAGAUAAGUCUGAAGUUAAAGGCUGUGGCUUAACCAUAGUACGCUUUGGAAACUGUUUAACUUGAGUGCAAGGGGGGAGAGUGGAAUUCCAUGUGUAGCGGUGAAAUGCGUAGAUAUAUGGAGGAACACCGGUGGCGAAAGCGGCUCUCUGGCUUGUAACUGACGCUGAGGCUCGAAAGCGUGGGGAGCAAACAGGAUUAGAUACCCGCGUAGUCCCUGUCUCUUAUACA